rnacentral:lncRNA from 1 species
AGGUCCUGCUCCCCAAAACCCAGCCCGGCCAGGUCGAGCUCCCGCAGGCUGUGCCGCCAGCGCCAGGCCAGCGCCGCGCAGCCCUGGGGGGCGCUGGGGGGGGGGGCAGGCGCUGCAGUGCAGCCCCAGGUGCAGCUGCUCCAGGUCUGCGGGGAGGGGGUGGUGGGGUCAGCGUGGGGUGGUUGGGGUGGGGCGAGGGGCAUGGGGUGGCACGCCACGGGAUGGCAUGGCACCAUGGAUAUGGUGUGGUGUGGGGUGGUCAAUGUGGCACAGUUGGCAUGGCAAAGCAUGGUGCCAUGGAUAUGGCAUGGCAUGGCAUGGUGUGUCAUGGUCAACUUGGCACAGUUGGCAUGGCACAGCAUGGCACCAUGGAUAUGGCAUGGCAUGGCGUGGUCAGUGUGGUCAGUAUGGCACAAGUGGCAUGGAGUGGUUGGCACAGCAUGGCACAGUGUGGUGUGGCACAGUGUGGCACCAUGGAUUGUACAUGGCAUGGCACAGUGUGGUCAACAUGGCACGGUUGGUAUGGUAUGGCACAGCAUGGCACUGUGGAUAUGGCAUGGAGUGGCGUGGUGUGGUCAAUGUGGCACAGGUGGCAUGGUGUGGUUGGCAUGGCACAGCAUGGCACCGUGGAUAUGGCAUGGAGUGGCGUGGUGUGGCCAAUGUGGCACACUUGGCAUGGUGUGGUUGGCACAGCGUGGCACAGCAUGGUGAGGCACACUGUGGCACCAUGGAUAUGACAUGGCGUGGCAUGGUGUGUCAUGGUCAACUUGGCACAGUUGGCAUGGCAAAGCGUGGUGCCAUGGAUAUGGCAUGGCAUGGUGUGGUCAGCGUGGCACAGCAUGGCACAGUGUGGUGUGGCACAGUGUGGCACCAUGGAUAUGACAUGGCACGGUGUGGUCAAUGUGGCACAGUUGGCAUGGUGUGGUUGGCAUGGCACGGCACACCAUGGCACCGUGGAAAUGGCAUGGAGUGGCGUGGUGUGGUCAGUAUGGCACAGUUGGCAUGGAGUGGUUGGCACAGCAUGGCAUGGUGUGGCACCAUGGAUAUGGCAUGGCAUGGCGUGGUCAAUGUGGUCAGUAUGGCACAAGUGGCAUGGAGUGGUUGGCACAGCAUGGCACAGUGUGGUGUGGCACAGCGUGGCACCAUGGAUAUGACAUGGCACGGUGUGGACAACAUGGCACGGUUGGCAUGGUAUGGCACAGCAUGGUACCAUGGAUAUGGCAUGGCAUGGCGUGGUGUGAUCAAUGUGGCACAGGUAGCAUGGUGUGGUUGGCACAGUGUGGCACAGCAUGGUGUGGCACACUGUGGCACCAUGGAUAUGGCGUGGCGUGGCAUGGUGUGUCAUGGUCAACUUGGCACAGUUGGCAUGGCACAGCAUGGCACCAUGGAUAUGGCAUGGCAUGGUGUGGUCAGUGUGGCACAGCAUGGCACAGUGUGGUGUGGCACAGCGUGGCACCAUGGAUAUGGCAUGGCAUGGCGUGGUUGGCACAGCGUGGCACAGCAUGGUGUGGCACAGUGUGGCACCAUGGAUAUGACAUGGCAUGGUGUGGUCAAUGUGGCACAGUUGGCAUGGAGUGGUUGGCAUGGCAUGGCACACCAUGGCACCGUGGAAAUGGCAUGGAGUGGCGUGGUGUGGUCAAUGUGGCACACUUGGCAUGGUGUGGUUGGCACAGUGUGGCACAGCAUGGUGUGGCACACUGUGGCAUCAUGGAUAUGGCGUGGCGUGGCAUGGUGUGUCAUGGUCAACUUGGCACAGUUGGCAUGGCAAAGCGUGGUGCCAUGGAUAUGGCAUGCUGUGGUGUGGUCAGUAUGGCACAGUAGAGCCUGACCAACACAACCAAUGUGGCAUGGCACAGCCCAGCAUGGCACGGCACAGCCAGAAUGGCAUGGUGCAGCCCACCCAAUGUGGUACAACAUGGCACAGCCCAGCACGGCACAGCCCAAAUGUCAUGGUGCCACCCGCCCAACACAACCAAUGUGGUACAACAUGGCACAGCCCAGCCUGGCAUAGCACAGCAUGGCACGGCACAGCCAAAAUGGCAUGGUAGAGCCCGACCAACACGACCAACGUGAUACGGCACGGCAUGGCACAGCCCAAAUGGCACGGUGCCACCCACCCAACACAACCAACAUGGCACAACAUGGCACAGCCUGGCAUGGCACAGCCAAAAUGGCACAGUAGAGCCCAACCAACACAACCAACAUGGCACGGCAUGGCACAGCCCAAAUGGCACGGUGCCACCCAACCAACACAACCAAUGUGGCACAAUAUGGCACAGCACAGCACGGCACAGCC